rnacentral:rRNA from 1 species
GACGAACGCUGGCGGCGUGCUUAACACAUGCAAGUCGAACGGAAAGGCCCUGCUUUUGUGGGGUGCUCGAGUGGCGAACGGGUGAGUAACACGUGAGUAACCUGCCCUUGACUUUGGGAUAACUUCAGGAAACUGGGGCUAAUACCGGAUAGGAGCUCCUGCUGCAUGGUGGGGGUUGGAAAGUUUCGGCGGUUGGGGAUGGACUCGCGGCUUAUCAGCUUGUUGGUGGGGUAGUGGCUUACCAAGGCUUUGACGGGUAGCCGGCCUGAGAGGGUGUCCGGCCACAUUGGGACUGAGAUACGGCCCAGACUCCUACGGGAGGCAGCAGUGGGGAAUAUUGCACAAUGGGCGGAAGCCUGAUGCAGCAACGCCGCGUGCGGGAUGACGGCCUUCGGGUUGUAAACCGCUUUCGCCUGUGACGAAGCGUGAGUGACGGUAAUGGGUAAAGAAGCACCGGCUAACUACGUG